UGCUGCCAUCCAUGUAAGAUGUGACUUGCUCCUCCUUGCCUUCCGCUAUGAUUGUGAGGCCUCCUCAGCCAUGUAGAACUGAGCUGACCUUUGUUCUGUUGGGGACACCAGCCAGAUUCUAAUGGAUAGUGUUUUUCACAUCCUCAGCUCAUCAGCCAACUGACAGAGAUAAUCCAGGACCAUUAGUUAAAAAAAGAAUCAUUAUCUUUUGGUUAAUCUGAAUAAAGUGAAAAAAAAAAAGGUGCCAGUGACAGACCAAGGGCUUUACAAACUGUAGUUAAAGAAAUAUUAGGAAAAAUUAGGAAUCCAACUUACAAGGGAUGCGAAGGACCUCUUCAAGGAGAACUAUAAACCACUGCUCAAUGAAAUAAAAGAGGAUACAAACAA
rnacentral:lncRNA from 1 species